rnacentral:rRNA from 1 species
UUUACCCUACGGGGCGCAGCAGUGGGGGAUAUUGCACAAUGGGGGGAACCCUGAUGCGGCGACGCCGCGUGAGCGAUGGAGUACUUCGGUAUGUAAAGCUCUGUCAGCAGGGAAGAAAAUGACGGUACCUGACCAAGAAGCCCCGGCUAAAUACGUGCCAGCAGCCGCGGUAAUACGUAUGGGGCAAGCGUUAUCCGGAUUUACUGGGUGUAAAGGGAGCGUAGACGGUAGAGCAAGUCUGAAGUGAAAGCCCGCGGCUCAACUGCGGGACUGCUUUGGAAACUGUUCAACUGGAGUGCUGGAGG